UCGGAGCGAGGGCGGGCAGCCGCGCUCCGGGGCCGGGGUCCCAAGGGAGCAGAUUCUCCUCAGCAUGGCCCUUGGUGCUACAGGAGUGGCAGGCUCUGGGCCCAGGCACCAAGUGGGCACUGGAUGACUCCUCACUUGCAGGACCCUGCCAUCUAUGACUCCAGGUGUUCAGCACCCACCCAACCACCGUGGUACAGGUAGGUGCUUUCUUC
rnacentral:lncRNA from 1 species